rnacentral:rRNA from 1 species
UACAGAGGUCUCAAGCGUUGUUCGGAUUCAUUGGGCGUAAAGGGUGCGUAGGCGGCGCGGUAAGUCGGGUGUGAAAUCUCGGAGCUUAACUCCGAAACUGCAUUCGAUACUGCCGUGCUUGAGGACUGGAGAGGAGACUGGAAUUUACGGUGUAGCGGUGAAAUGCGCAGAUAUCGGGAAGAACACCCGUGGCGAAGGCGGCUCUCUGGGACGGUACUGACACUGAGGGACGAAAGCUAGGGGAGCGAAUGGG